rnacentral:rRNA from 1 species
AACGAACGCUGGCGGCAUGCCUAACACAUGCAAGUCGAACGAGACCUUCGGGUCUAGUGGCGCACGGGUGCGUAACACGUGGGAAUUUGCCUCGGGGUAUGGAAUAACUCAGGGAAACUUGAGCUAAUACCAUAUAAUGUCUUCGGACCAAAGAUUUAUCGCCCUGAGAUAAGCCCGCGUAGGAUUAGCUAGUUGGUGGGUAAAGGCUCACCAAGGCGACGAUCCUUAGCUGGUCUGAGAGGAUGAUCAGCCACACUGGGACUGAGACACGGCCCAGACUCCUACGGAGGCAGCAGUGGGAAUAUUGGACAAUGGCGAAAGCCUGAUCCAGCAAUGCCGCGUGAGUGAUGAAGG